rnacentral:rRNA from 1 species
GAAAGCAUCUAAGUGUGAAACUCGCCUCGAGAUGAGAUUUCCCAUUCAGAAAUGAAGUAAGACCCCUUAUAGAUGAUAAGGUAGAUAGGCUAGAAGUGGCAGUACGGUGACGUAUGGAGCGGACUAGUACUAAUGGUUCGAGGACUUAACCA